UCCCGGGUCGUCUAAGGGCAAGACGGCGGUUUUUGGUACCGCUUAUAGGGGUUCGAAUCCUCUCCCGGGAG
rnacentral:tRNA from 1 species